UAAAAUUUGAGGUUUUAGGAUUUAUAUUUUUAAAAUUAAGAUUUUAGGAAUUAAAGUUUGAAUUUUUAAUUUUAGAAUUUGUACACUUACAUAGCAAUGACGUGGCAGUGCUGGUGUGUGGAUGCCAUAACGCUGACAUGGCAAGAUACAGGGCUGGAUCUGGUGGAAUGAGGACACGUUAAGGAUCUGUGAGCUCAGCUGCAAAACUUUGACGGAUCUUGACCCAUCUCCGCCGAAUCUUACAGAAGCGACUUCGGAUGGAAGUUCCGACGACGAGAAUGUGUCAGUCGGCGUUCUGCGUAUCUCGGGGACGUGAAGAUAGCGGAAUCUGUUGAAUUUCUUUCCAUGUUGUGAUCCGGGUUGUGAUUUGACCUGAAUGGAUCUUGGCUUCUAGGCCACUCCAGGCGACUGGACUUGUACCGAUGCAGUCGCUUGGAGGUCUUCUGUGGAUUGGCGGUCUCUUGUUUCACAAUUUUUUUUAAACAUAGAUGUUACACAGGUGGAGGGCGCAUAUUUUGAAAACCAAUUUGGCGAUCUCUGCACAUAUUGAAGGGAAAACCAAUCUGACGAAUGUCUUUGAUGAAUGUAUGCAGUUCAUCCGAUUGUUUUAGAGCUUGGCAAACAUUCUUAUAUGAUUUCAGCAGUAAUCUGCGCUGCCAUCUACUUCACCAUAGGCAUUAUCGGGUACCUUUUGUUUGGAGAAUCAAUAGUGGUUGAUAUAUUAGUAAAUUUCGAUAGAACUUCUGAUACAGCAAGUGGUGCAUUACUGAAUGACAUAGUUAGAUUAAGCUAUGCAUUCCACCUUAUGCUGGUGUUUCCUCUCUUGAACUUCUCCUUAGGGGCAAACAUCGGCCAAUUUCGUUUCCCCAAGAAGUCUUUGCUGGCAAGAGACACAACCAGAUUUGUGUCCCUCACUCUAAUCUUAUUAAUCUUCACUUACCUGUUAGCAAUAGCCAUUCCAAAUGUAUGGUACAUCGACCAAUAACCUCUGCAGUGUGUCUUGCCUUUAUUUUUCCAGGGAUACUCACAGAAUAUCUACAACUAAGGAUGGGAUCAUAGUUGUCCUUUUCUUCGCUUCUUUGUUGCCCAAAUGUUUUUGUAGUUGAGGUGCCUGUAUUUUUGUGUAUCUUAGAAUUCAGCAGCCAAAAUUAAGCAGGGUCUCUGAAAAUUUAGUAUGCAAACAUGCAAGUUGAGCAGUUCAUUGUUGCUAUCUACUGCAACGAAGUUCUGGAUAUAAUUUUUCAUAAUAUCCUACAAUGAGGCUACGAGGAGGAGCCCUCUUAUCAAAUUGAGUGAGACUCUUGGUGUCAGCAAUCAUCUCAGUUGCUCUACCCUAUCUUUGAUAAAAAAUGAUAAUUCAGCUACCAAUUGUAUCAGUACAUCACAAUAUUUGCAGAACCCAUCUUUGUGCUUGUCUAUUUCGUUUCAUUUUAUUUCUUGAAAUGACAUAAACAGAGUGUUUGUUUCAAUCUCAUUUCAUUUUUUCCAGUCUCAAUGUUAUGUAAAACUAUCACAAUCAUGGGUUAUGGAACUGUGAAACAAAGUUCAGUCACAA